GGAGUGGAUCGGGUGAUCGCUCAUCCGCUGUGGAUGAGAGGAAAGUCCGGACUCCACAGGGCAAGGUGCUGGGUAACACCCAGGCGGAGCGAUCCGACACCAGCGCCACAGAAAACAAACCGCCGAAGGGAUGGCAUUUCUUGCCAGCCCUGGCAAGGGUGAAAAGGUGGGGUAAGAGCCCACCGCAUCCAUGGUGACAUGGAUGGCAAGGCAAGCGUCACCUGGAGCAAGACCAAAUAGGAGAACGUGCCGAUUCUCUGUUGAGGGUCGGGGGAGGCUGGCCCGGCCGAUGUUCUCGGGUAGGUCGCUAGAAACUCGGGGUAACUCGAGUUCCAGAGAAAUGAUCACCCCCGUCUCUUCUGAGGCGGGACAGAAUCCGGCUUAUAGAUCCACUCCCUCC
rnacentral:RNase_P_RNA from 1 species